AGAAUCAACGCUGGCGGCGUGCCUAACACAUGCAAGUCGAACGAGAAAGUGGAGCAAUCCAUGAGUAAAGUGGCGACCGGGUGAGUAACACGUGACUAACCUACCUUCGAGUGGGGGAUAACCUCGGGAAAACCGGGGCUAAUACCGCAUAAUAUCCACGGAUCAAAGGAGCAAUUCGCUUGAAGAGGGGGUCGCGGCUGAUUAGUUAGUUGGCGGGGUAAUGGCCCACCAAGACAAUGAUCGGUAGCCGGCCUGAGAGGGCGCACGGCCACACUGGAACUGAAACACGGUCCAGACUCCUACGGGAGGCAGCAGUGGGAAUUUGCGCAAUGGGGGAAACCCUGACGCAGCAACGCCGCGUGGAGGAUGAAAUCCCUUGGGAUGUAAACUCCUUUCGAUCGGGAAGAUAAUGACGGUACCGAGAGAAGAAGCCCCGGCUAACUCGUGCCAGCAGCCGC
rnacentral:rRNA from 1 species